rnacentral:rRNA from 1 species
AGUUUGAUCCUGGCUCAGAACGAACGCUGGCGGCAUGCCUAAUACAUGCAAGUCGAACGAUCUCUUCGGAGAUAGUGGCGCACGGGUGCGUAACGCGUGGGAAUCUGCCCUUGGGUUCGGAAUAACAGCGGGAAACUGCUGCUAAUACCGGAUGAUGACGUAAGUCCAAAGAUUUAUCGCCCAGGGAUGAGCCCGCGUAGGAUUAGGUAGUUGGUGGGGUAAAGGCCUACCAAGCCUACGAUCCUUAGCUGGUCUGAGAGGAUGAUCAGCCACAUUGGGACUGAGACACGGCCCAAACUCCUACGGGAGGCAGCAGUGGGGAAUCUUAGACAAUGGGCGCAAGCCUGAUCUAGCCAUGCCGCGUGAUCGAUGAAGGCCUUAGGGUUGUAAAGAUCUUUCAGAUGGGAAGAUAAUGACGGUACCAUCAGAAGAAGCCCCGGCUAACUCCGUGCCAGCAGCCGCGGUAA